AUUUACAUGAAAAGCAAACUGUUGACCUUCUUUACGUGCAUUUUGUGAGAAGAAAUAGUAAUUUCAUGUUUUAAUUGAUUAUCAAUGACUAAUGUUUUUUAAUAAAUUUAUAUUUGCGAAAGAUUACGAAAGAACUUUACCAAAGCCUGCAGUACCAAGAUUGGUUGAAGCUGGAUGGCAAACGAUACAAUUAAGUUUCAAUACGACAGAGCUAGAACGAUACAGUAAUCUUCAUUAUAUUUUGGAAGUCCAGCCACAAUGGAUCCUUCAGGAGAGGAAUAAUGUCUUUGUUGUGUUUCCUUACACAAUGAAGUACCACAGU